rnacentral:tRNA from 1 species
UCCAUGAUGGCCGAGAUACCAGGCAUCGAGCUUUUAACUCGACUACAGUUAUUUACACUUCAGGAU